rnacentral:rRNA from 1 species
UACGGAGGGUCCGAGCGUCGUCCGGAAUCACUGGGUGUAAAGGGUGCGCAGGCGGGCUUAUAAGUCAGGGGUGAAAGCCACCGGCUCAACCGGUGAAUUGCCCUUGAUACUGUAAGUCUUGAGUCCUGGAGGGGCCGUCGGAAUUCGUGGUGUAGCGGUGAAAUGCGUAGAUAUCACGAGGAACACCGGAGGCGUAAGCGGACAGCUGGACAGGUACUGACGCUGAGGCACGAAAGCGUGGGGAGCGAACAGG